UAAUAUUUAUUUGUUAAUGCAGUUUCAAUCAGCUGGACCUGCCGGAGUACACCUCCAAGGAACAGUUAGAAGAACGCUUGCUUCUCGCCAUCCAUGAAGCUAGCGAAGGUUUUGGAUUUGGCUAAGAAACUGUGCUCCCAGAAACUAGCUAGAGAGAGAGCAACCCGCGUUCUCUUUCAUGUACAGGUUUCAAAGGAGAUCAGAUAAGAGUUCAUAACGGAAGCCUAUGCAUCCGAAACGAUUCGAACGAAGUAAAUUGGCAAACCUACAAAUUUCCUGCUCUCUAACGUCGAGAACUCCCACGUGUCAGGACGCAUGUUUUGGACUCCGGGCAUUAGCAGAACCAACCGCUCGCUGUUUCUCUCUUUUCUCUUCAGCUAUCUUAUUAGUUAGCUUGAGGUUUUGAGAGUAAUGUAAAUGAAAAACGGACGGCCUUUUACUUGUUUUGUAUAUUUUUUUUCUUUGCCCUUUUAACUGCUGCAGAGAUUGUGAUUAGGGUGCAGCAUGUUUUGAAUUUGGCUGGUUAUAUAGUAAUUGUUCUCAUUUGGUUAA